UUAAUGGAUAGUGGGUUUAAUAAGUUUGGUUUAGAAUGAGUUGGACUAAUAUGAGUUAAUGAAUAACCCAAACCAAACCAAUUUCUUCUUUAAUUCCAUUAAAAAAAUUUAGAAGCAGUGACGAUCCUCUCGAAAGCUCCGACGAUCGCCUUCGGCGACCCUUUAAGCUUCGGCGGCGAUCCUCUCGAUCACCCUCUUCGGCCGCGACCCUCUCUAUUUCACCCUCUUCGGCCGCGACCCUCUCGAUCUCUUCGAUUGAUCUCGAUCUCUUCAAUUGAUCUCUACCGUUUCUCAUCUCGUCACCUGCCGUAUCUCGUCACCUAAGAGGCUCGAUCUCAUCUCCAUCUUCUCGAUUGUUAUAUUCGUUUGUCUAAAAAUGAUGAACAAUAUCUUCUUGUAAGUUCCACUCAUUCAAAAAGAACUAAAAGAUCAACUGCAUGGGACUUCUUUACAAUAGCUUGAUCCCUUCACUUCGAAAGAAAAGAUUAAACAUCUUAUGGAUAAGCUUUCUAAGCUUUUUGAAGACUAUAGGAAAAAGUAUCCUUUGACUCCUGUUGUGAGCUCUACAAGAGUAGACUCUCGUGUCUCUAAAAGAGGAAGAGGGAACUUGGAUGUACAAGAUGAUCUGUUUGAAUGAGAUGAUGUUCCAGACUAUAUUGAAGAAGGAAAGUCAGCUUUGGAUAUGUAUUUGGAGGAUCCAAAGUUAGAUAUGAGGAGUCAUCCUAAUUUGAAUGUUCUACAGUAUUGGAAAGAAAACAGACAUCGUUUUGGCGCCUUGACAUAUAUGGCAAUGGAUGUGCUUAGCAUUCCUAUAACUACUGUGGCUUCUGAGUCUUCUUUCAGUAUUGGUUCUCAGGUUAUAAGCAAGUAUCGAAGUAGAUUGUUGCCUAGUAAUGUUCAGGCUUUAUUGUGUACACGUUCUUGGAUACAUGGCUACCUGCUUGAUGAUGAAGAUAAUGGCGAAUGUGAGAUGGUUAUUAUUCACUCAAGGCCAAAUGAAGUAGAAGAAACUGGAAGUAGCCAAAGAAACAACAUCACACAUACGUAUCAGUAAGGCAAAGGAAGUUUGUUAUUAAAGACAAAA